rnacentral:rRNA from 1 species
UGAGGAAUCUUGCGCAAUGGGGGAAACCCUGACGCAGCAACGCCGCGUGAGUGAGGAAGGUCUUCGGGUCGUAAAGCUCUGUCAGGCGGGAAGAAAUGCAUGGAGGUGAACAGCCGCCAUGCUUGACGGUACCGCCAGAGGAAGCACCGGCUAACUCCGUGCCAGCAGCCGCGGUAAUACGGGGGGUGCAAGCGUUGUUCGGAAUCAUUGGGCGUAAAGAGCGUGUAGGCGGGUUGGUAAGUCAGAUGGGAAAGCCCUGGGCUCAACCCGGGAAGUGCAGUUGAAACUGCCAGGCGUGAGUAGGGGAGAGGGAAGUGGAAUUCCUGGUGUAGAGGUGAAAUUCGUAGAUAUCAGGAGGAACACCGGUGGCGAAGGCGACUUCCUGGCCCUAUACUGACGCUGAGACGCGAGAGCGUGGGUAGCAAACAG